rnacentral:rRNA from 1 species
GGGCCCGCACAAGCGGUGGAGCAUGUGGUUUAAUUCGAAGCAACGCGAAGAACCUUACCAGGUCUUGACAUCCUCUGACAACCCUAGAGAUAGGGCUUUCCCCUUCGGGGGACAGAGUGACAGGUGGUGCA